ensembl:lncRNA
GUUUGCAUGUAUGUUUGUGUUUGUACAAGUGUUUGUUUGUAUUUUUGUGUUUUUUGUGCCCUUGUUUGUAUGUGUUUGUACUUGUUUGAGUUUAUGUUUAUGUUUGUUUGUAUGUUUACCUUUGUAUGUUUGCAUUCAUAUGGUUGUGUUUGUUUGCGUGUAUGUUUAUGUUUUGUUGCAUGUUUGUGGUGUAUGUUUGUGUGUUUGAAUGUAUAUCUAUGUGUGCACGUUUGUGUUUGCAUGCAUGUUUACGUUUGUGUCUUUGCUGUAUGUUUGUGUUUGCAUGUAUGUGUUUGCUUGUGUGUUUGUGUUUGCAUGUGUGUUUGUGUUUGCUUGUGUGUUUGUGUUUGCUUGUAUGUUUGUGUUUGCAUGUGUUUGUGUUUGCAUCUGUUUUUGUGUUUGCUUGUAUGUAUGUGUUUGUGUUUGAAUGUGCAUUUGUGUUUGCUUGUAUAUUUGUGUUUGCUUGCAAGUUUGUAUUUGCUUGUAUGUUUGUGUUUGCAUGUGUGUGUGUGUGUUCGUUUGCUUGUGUGUUUGUUUGUUUGCAUGUAUGUGUUUGCUUGUAUGUUUGUGUUUGCAUGUGUGUUUGUGUUUGCUUGUGUGUCUGUGUUUGCUUAUAUGUUUGUGUUUGUACGAGUGUUUGUUUGUAUGUGUGUGUUUUUUGUGUCCUUUGUAUGUGUAUGUGUUUGUACUUGUUUGAGUUUGCGUGUAUGUUUAUGUUUGUUUGUACAGUAUGUUUACCUUUGUAUGUUUGCGUUUGUAUGGUUGUGUUUGUUUGCGUGUAUGUUUAUGUUUUGUUGCAUGUUUGUGGUGUAUGUUUGUGUGUUUGAAUGUAUAUAUAUGUGUGCAUGUUUGUGUUUGCAUGCAUUUUUUGUGUUUGCAUGUAUGUUUGUGUUUGCAUGUAUGUGUUUGCUUGUAUGUUUGUGUUUGUAUGUGUGUUUGUGCUUGCUUGUAUGCUUGUGUCUGCUUGUAUGUUUGUGUCUGCUUGUGUGUUUGCAUGUGUGUUUGUGUUUGCUUGUAUGUUUGUGUUUGCAUGUGUGUUUGUGUUUGCUUGUGUGUUUGUGUUUGCUUGUAUGUUUGUGUUUGCUUGUAUGUAUGUGUUUGCUUGUAUGUUUGUGUUUGCUUGUAUGUUUGUGUUUGCUUCUGUGUUUGUGUUUGCUUGUAUGUUUUUAUUUGCUUGUAUGUUUGUGUUUGAUUGUAUGUUUGUGUUUGCUUGUAUGUCUGUGUUUGCUGUAUGUCUGUGUUUGCUUGUAUGUCUGUGGUUGCUUGUGUGUUUGUGUUUGCGUGUAUGUUUGUGUUUGUGUUUGCAUGUGUUUGUGUGUUUGCAUGUGUGUUUGCAUGUGUGUUUGUGUUUGGUUGUUUGUUUGUUUUUGUUUGUAUGUUUGUGUUUGUUUGUAUGUUUGUGUUUGCAUGUGUGUUUGUGUUUGCUUGUAUGUUUGUGUUUGCUUGUAUGUUUGUAUGUAUGUGUUUGCUUGUGUGUUUGUUUUUGCUUGUAUGUUUGUGUUUGCUUCUGUGUGUUUGUGUUUGCAUGUAUUUUUGUGUUUGAUUGUGUGUUUGCUUGUAUGUCUGUGUUUGCAUGUAUGUUUGUGUUUGCUUGUAUGUCUGUGUUUGCAUGUAUGUUUGUGUUUGCUUGUAUGUCGGUGUUUGCAUGUAUGUUUGUGUAUGUUUGUGUUUGAUUGUAUGCUUGUGUUUGCUUGUAUGUUUGUGUUUGCUUGUAAGUUUGUGUUUGCAUGUGUGUUUGCGUGUAUGUUUGUGUUUGGUUGUAUGUUUGUGUUUGCAUGGGUGUUUAUGUUUGUGUGCAUGUUUGUGUUUGCAUGUAUGUUUGUAUUUGGGUUUGAAUGUAUGUUUGUGUUUUGUGAACAAUUUUCCUACAGCAAAGAAAGCUUUUGUUGAAAACCACCUUCGUACGGCCAUAUUUAUUUCACUUUUUGUCACCGUCUUCUUCAUCUAUCUUAUCUGAUCCUGAACAUCGGAAAUUACAUUCAUCAGAUCCACAUUAUAAAUAGUUCUUCCUGGACUUUACCUAACAAUCUACCAGAUGCCCCACGCAAAUCCAGGUGUGUCAUAAAAAAAGGUUCAGUACACAUCCUUUGACCACUCACUGAACUUAUCCUGAACUUUUGGCAAAGUUCACAGCACCAGUAGACCCAGCUGCACUCACUGAUACAUGUUGUAAAAAAGGGGGCAAUGGACAUACUUCGAUCACUGAACAUCUCAGAAAAAUGAUCUGUUUUGAUCACUGAACUUUGUCUGACACAACACCAAAGUUUAAAAUGCCAGAUCCCUCAAAAACUCAUUAGAUUACGAUUAUAAAACAACCCUGCAAACAUCCCUAGAUGUUUUUAAUUAAUUUUUUUAUAACCUUGGCUGAUCUGAUAUUGACGCAUCACUGAUUCUACCUCCCAUCUUCAAAUCUUCUCUCAUUUCAUUGCGGUGCGUAUGAUGUUGUAAAAGUUUAGACAUUUAAGUGCAUAUGUGCGUUUUAAC